GAACCGAGCGAACGUUGUUCGGAAUCACUGGGCUUAAAGGGCGCGUAGGCGGGCUGCCAAGUUUGGGGUGAAAUCCUCCGGCUCAACCGGGGAAGGGCCUUGAAUACUGGCGGUCUGGAGGGGGGUAGGGGCGUGCGGAACUAACGGUGGAGCGGUGAAAUGCGUUGAUAUCGUUAGGAACUCCGGUGGCGAAGGCGGCACGCUGGACCCUCACUGACGCUGAGGCGCGAAAGCCAGGGGAGCGAACGGGAUUAGAUACCCCGGUAGUCCUGGCCCUAAACGUUGAGAACUAGGUAGCAGGCCGGACAUGGGUUUGCUGCCGGAGCAAAAGUGCUAAGUUCUCCGCCUGGGGAGUAUGGUCGCAAGGCUG
rnacentral:rRNA from 1 species